AACCACCCAGUUCCUGCUGAAGCUGCUGGAGACCCCCGAGGGGGGGGCGGCCCUGAGACCCCCGCCCCCCCCCCAGUUCCUGUGGAGCUCUCCGAGACCCCCCCUCGACCCAGGAGACCCCUCCCCGAAUUGGAGGCGGAAUUGGGGGGGGUCCGGCGGGGCCUGGAGGAGCUGCAGGCCCAGCUGUCAAAUUUAGGGGGGUCCCCGGCCCCCUCCCCCCCAAAUUUGGGGGUCCUGGUGGGGACUCUGACCUCGUUGGCUGCAGAUUUUGGGGCCUCUGAGCUCCGGGGCCCCCUGGCACCCCCCAGGACCCCCCAAAUUUGGGGGGAAGGGGGCCGGGUCCCCCCUGUGGGGAGGGGGCUGCGGAAUCUCGGCCAGGUUUUGGGGACCCUGACCCAGCUCGGGGCCAGCGCGGGGGAGGUGACACGGCUGGGGGGGGUCACCGAGGCCAUCGAACCCCAAAUCCCCCCCCUCUCCCAGCGCUUCCAGCCCCCCCGGUGUGGCAGGACCUGGCGGCCUCAGGUGUGACACGGAGGGGACACCUGGGGGGACACCUGUGGCACACCUGAGUGUGUGGGACACACCUGGGACACACCUGGGACAGUGUGAGUGACACCAGGGACACAUCGGAGUGUGUGUGUCACACCUGGGACACACCUGUGUGAGUGUGACCCCUGUGACAGGUCUGUGACACACCUGUGGCACCUUUGAGUGUGUCCCACCUGUCCCCAGGUGUGUCACACCUGUCCCUGUGUGUGUCACACCUGUCCUCAAGUGUGUCCCACCUGUCCCCAGGUGUGUCUGCUGCGUCUGUGGGGGAGGGGACCUGGGGGGGCGUGGCCUUGGCCCCACCCAGGGGUGUGGCACAGGUGGGCGUGGCCAGGUGGGUGUGGCCCUGACCCCACCCAAAGUGUGACCCAGGUGUGACCCAGAUGUGGGCGUGGCCCAGGUGUGGGCGUGGCCCAGGUCACUGGCCUGCCCGCAGCACUGUAAUUAAAGUCUCAUUAACGAA